GCUUCUUUGUUUCAUGUGAUGUGCCAUUUUUAUUUAGCUGAUUUCAAUCGUUUUUCCCUUAUUUAUGAAUUCAGCAUAUAACUAUGAUGUCUCUAGGUAUUACUCUGCUUGGAGUAUCAUGAGCUUCUUGAAUCAAAAGUUUUAUACCUUUCAUCAUAUUUGGGAAUUUAUUUCUGCUCCAUUUACUCUCUUCCCUCCUAGAAGUAAGAGUACCAAUUACUAGAGUAACUAGAACUCCAAUUACUCCUAUGUUAGACAUUUUAAUAUUUUUGAACCAGUCCUUGAGACUGUUCAAUUUUUUCUCUGCCAUUUUUCUCUCUUUUCUUUAGAUUGGAUCAUUUUCAUUUGAUCCCUUUUCAAGUUCAUGGACUCUUCCCUAUGUUGUCUCUAUUCUGCUAGAGGAUGAAUUUUUAUUUCAGAUAUGUUAUGUUUUAGUCUAGAAUUUUUAUUUGGUUGCUUUUUAUAGUUUGUAUUUUUCCGAUGAAAUUUUAC
rnacentral:lncRNA from 1 species